CAGCAGGGCUUCAGUUGCUCUCUCAGAGAACCACUCAGCGGGGAAGACCAGCGCAUACUCUGUAUAACAGCAGUGUGGUUGUACAUCAACUGAUCCAUACCUGGAGGGACAAGGGAGCACAUAGCAUUUCAGGUGUGGGAGAAAUAACGUGUACAAACUUUUUACCAUACAGACAGAGUUGAUAUAAGCUUUGUAAGAAAAAAAGUGAACGACCUGAAUUCGAACUCGUGGAUUAAAGCCUUCUCAGGCUUCUCAAGCCAACACGUUGACUUUGGACUACGGCGCCACCUGGUUGGACUACGGCGCCACCUGAUUGGACUACAGCGCCACCUGAUUGGACUACGGCGCCACCUGGUUGGACUACAG